UUGCUGGUGGGACCAAGCAAGCGCUUAAUUGUCAUUGAUUAAGUGGACGUCAAUUGACAUACAAGAUUUCUGCCGUCAGGAAACUACGAUCUAUUCAGCGGUCCCCCACAACUGACACCACAUUCUCCAAAUUCAGUCAAAACAAUGAAAAAGGUUCUGAUUUUGAUGUUUUUCCUCCUCAACUCCGGACACGCACACGAUGCCGAGAUCGAGUUUGAAGACAAAUCAAUCGACAACUGGGUUAUACUGUUUGGAGCAAAUGCAAAAGAACUGAAAUACGACUUUUGCAAGUAUAACGGGACAAGCGGCGGAACACAAUGCCAAAAUUUUCCAAAGGCCACCUCAACAGACAUUACGGAGGUGUGCAAUUGCUUCGUCCAUUACAACCAGACUGGAGAUCUGGUUCUCAUCUGCAACAACAAUUCAAGUUGGUGCCCUGGGAAUCUGGACUUUAAGUUGCAUCAAGGCUCCUUCGAGAUGCCAUCACACGCUGAAAAAAUUCCAGCAACCAGAAAAGACCAGAAUAACUUUCCGAUAUUGUCUUUUUCCGUUUUUGGCAUCUUUUGUUUCAUUGUUGGAAUGAGUUUUGAAGCCAAGUACGGAGCCCGAGUGCGUUCUUAUUGCAUGCAGAAGUGGCGGCAAAACGUCAAAUGAAAUAGUUUAAUGAUGAGCUCAAGAGCCAAUAGUACUUUCAAGGACGCAAUUCUUCUUUCGUGUAGCCAUCUUUUCUUUCAAAUCUUUUUUUUUACCUGAAGGACAUUUUAAUCUCGCGAUGAUGACCUUGACAGUACUAAAAGGAAUGGCUUUACCGAUUUUGGUUUUCAGGACGUCAAAAGAAAGCAUAUAUUAAGUGAAGAAUGCAAAGUGGCAGGAGUGAGUCAGAAAUCGUAGUGGGAAAUGAAUUAAAAUUAAAUUUGUUACCAAAGUAUACGCUGUGGCACCAUCUAUAUUGGCGGCUUCAAACACUAAGGGCUUAUACAACUUGUUGUAUUAAUGCCGUAGUCUAUAUAAACCAAAUAUAUUUUCGAUCUUAUAAAAAGAUCAACAAAUAAUGUUCCUAAGCAAAUCGCCAAAAUAUUCAGUUUUUUUUCGCGUCCAUUAUAUGGUUUUGUCUGGCGUGUGCUCCUUCCACACUCUCACUCAGGUUCACUCUUUCUCUCUUCGCUCAACCAUCAGCCCAUUCAGUCAGGUACUGUCAAGGCCGUCUGCAGGUGGCCGACCCACUUGUCGCGACACUCUUCUCUUCCCCAACGCGCGCCUGCAAACUCUACCAAAGAACCUCAUUUUAUAUUUGUAGUGUAAAAUAUAUAAUUUGAUUGGCCUUUCUUUAUUUUUCCUUAAUUGUCAAUAGACCACUGUUUAACUUCAAGUAGAUUUAGCGUCCUCGAAAAUGUAUUUUUGCAUUCACUGACUAUAGAGCACGUGACACCCUUGGUGGUGUCACGUAUCCACCCCCUCUAGUUUCAAGAUGGCUUCCGCCUGCUUGGACCAGCAGCAGACGGUUUCCUGAUCUCUGCGUCGAGCAGCAUCACUCCUAUGCCUUGAUCUGCUUACCAGUUACUCCUAAUUCAGCCUAGACAGUCACACUAACAAUUAACUUAAAUUUCCAAAGUCUAUUCUGUGUUCAUUUUUAACUGCAGUUAUGUAAUUUAUGGCCA